GCCACUUCCCUGGGACCAUUUUCUGUCUCCAUUCAACGCUUUCCUGCCCUUCUCAUACAGUUCUUGGUUUCAAUUACUCCAGCCUGAUGUGCCUAGAGUGGAGCGAGACAGAGCACGUCCCCCUGCCUCGCUUCUGGGUGGCUUGGGGCCUGCUUCUGGAGUGAUUCACUUCAGGGUCGCUUCCGUGAUGCUGAAGCUUGUCAGGCCCAGCGUUGGUCACGGUGAAUGAAGGGGACGAGCGGUCGGUCUGCAUGGCCCUGCCUCCCUGCCUUAACACCCCCUCGAAGGACUGUCAGGGUAGGUUUUGUCAUUUGGCUCCUGCUCUUGUCACAGGAGCGAUUUCCUACCAGGACUGAAAUGAAUCUCCCGCAUCACUUAAAUUCCUGCAAGGACUGUAGGUUCUUUAAUAACAUGAAGGCAGAACAUCAGUUUAAUGCUUAUUCUGCUGUAUAUUACGUUAUUGUUGUUGCACUACAAAUUUUUUCAUAGCAUCCAGCAAGGGCAUAUGCACCCUCAAGGAUGACCAGCUACGUCUGAACCGUGAGUUGCCUCAGCAAAAAGUGGAAAGUAUUUGAGCAUUGACAAUUCUGUGAAACCUCCCCUGUAACGAGGCUCACCCAGGCAGAACCAUCCGUGUCCCCUUUGAGCAAAAGGGAAUUCCCUGGUUGUAUUCCUAACUGGAGCUGAAGCCAGGCUUGGAACAGGAACCUACCUGUCAUACUUGCUGUACCUGGUGCACCUGGGCACGUGAGCGAAGCAGCAAAAACAGAGAACGUAAGUUGCUUUGUUAUGGGUUAGCCUAAACCACCCUGGGUUGAAGAUUGUGGAGUAUCGUGUACCACACGUCACAUAUCUAAAUACUUGUACAUAGAACACUUUUACAUAGAAUACUUGUACAUAGAACUCUGGGGGAGCUGAUGGCUUCUAGUUUGGAUCUGGCACAGUUGUUAAAUUGUUACAGACAGAAACAGCACACACCCUUAGUAAGCCUGAAACAUUUCCUUGAUCAUUUUCAUGGUGCCCUCUUACAGAGGCAAAUGAGUUGCUGGGCCACUGCCUCUCACCUGGCAGCCCAGAGAGGAGCUGGAUCCGGCCUGGAAGUCUGUGAGGACUGACCCUGGAAAGGUCCCGUCACCUCCUUCACUACAAAAGCAAACUCCAGAGUUGGCCCAGGUGCGUGAUUCCAAGACACUGGAAGUGUGAUGGGUGCAGCGCUACUUGCUGGAGGCUGAGCUUCUCUGCGGAGCACACCACUUGGAGAUGUGGGGAUUGCCAAACAGAGGAAAACUGGAGAUUUGCACUCGACAGAGAUCACCUAUUCUAACCCCAGGGUUUCAGUAUCCCUAUCAGGGCCUAAACUCAUCUAAAGGAAAGGAAACCGAAGAAGAAAUAUAACUGACUUUAGGAACUACUCAGUCCAGACUAUUCGUGCAGAGAUCAACAAACUGAAGAAAUUCAGUGCUUACGGAGGUACUAUUCAAGGUAUCAUAAAUUUGGUGAAGAUCUCAAGGACAAGAUUUGCACAUACACUAACAGGAUGCUGACAUCCUUGUUCUUGGCCUUAAACUCUUAAUGGCAAUCAUCCUUCUAUACAAAAGAAAGUUUGUGUGCUCUCUUCAUUUUCAGAGGGAUUAUCAAGGUAAAUUUUCCAGGUGAUUAUUUCACUAUUGCCAAUGCUCAGAAUGAAUGUAAGGUAAUUCACGAGGUCUGUAACCUCAGCUGGUGAUCUAAGUUCAGUUCCUGGUAACCUGGUUCUCAGCACAGAGGCUGACAGCAGAACUGAUUAAAAUAUACAAACAAUAAAGAAGUUCAUGGAGACUGUAUCACCACCAGUAAGUUUUCAAGAACUUAAAUGACCACUGCCUCGGGGUUAAUGAGAGUUUCUGUACAGAUCUAUAUAGCUUCUUUGCAUCUGUACAACUUUAUUUAAAUAUUCAGUGUGUUUGAUACUGCUAGUGUGUUCUGUACGUAGGGCUACGCUCUAAUAUAUUUCUAAGCCUUUUAGUCGAGUGUCUAACUGCUUGCAAAGUUGCCCUGCGGUAACAAGAAUAGGUUAAAGCCUGGCAAAAGUAGGUUCUAAAAUAAACCAGAAUGUCUGCUGGUUAUGUUUACCUUGUGAAAUCAGGCCUCUCUCUGAUUGAGAUGCUCUUCCAUUCUGUUAUGUGAAUGCACUCUGAUGAAAAGUACUUCCACAAGCAUUAGUUUCCAUGACGAAUAAUGUCUGUGUGUGUUUGUAUACAUGCUCUUACCUCUGUUAAUUAGGCAUCUGUUCCUUGUCUGUUGGGGUCCUUAUCGGACACUAAAAAGAAAGAGAUGCAAUUAAUGAAUAGUCAUGUAUAUAUCAGUGGUAAAUUAGGCCAGUACAGAACGUCUUCCAAAGUUGAAUAAUUCUCAAAACACAUGCCUAGGGUGAGACGCCUGUUAUGGGUUUUCCUUCAAAUGUGAAUGAAUACAGCACACGUCCCUGGGAGCAGAGGAGUAAUAGAGCAGCCACAAAAAUAGAUGCCACCUGCAAGCUGGAGCGGUGUCAACUGAUGAAUAAGCACUCUGCAAGCAACUUGGACUAAAAGCAAGGUGCUGAUGAGGGGUUGAGGAAUGAAGCCAGAUGUUGGGGGAUAGUGAAGCUGAUCAAUAAUAGACUGACAGUUUGUGAAAGCUACAUAGUGCUCUUCUGGGUGGUUUUUGGAUGAGGCUGAGGAAGAGAUUUGGUCUUUGGCAGCUGGUUGAGCAAACGUAAUUACAUUUUACUGUCUGCUUUACAGUCAUAGGCAUCUACAAAUGUGGGUAUCAGAAUCUGUAAGAAGAAGUUCUGUUGGAGGCUGCUUUUAUGGCAGGGGAUGACCUGGCUGUGCACAGUGUGUUAUGGGAGCGGCUCUGUACUGAACAGUCCACAGCAGCAGGCAGUCAAGUUGUUCUUCUGGAUAUGAAGGCCACUCUCAGUGACAGAAAGACACCAGUAAUGACCAAGCGUGUAAGUACCUACUGAUCAACAGCUAACAGCUCAGCUAUGAAAUAAAUUGGUUUCACUUCUGUUCCCUGUGAAAACCUCAUUGGAAAAAGCUCCUUGCCUUCCACAGCAGACCAGCUACCCUGCCAGUCUUGACAAGGAUCCCAAGACUGGAACAGCUGCAGAGUCUGAAUGGCCUGUUUGUCCAACAGUGUAUUUGUCACUGGAGGACUAUGCAUCUGACGUGCCUCCCAAGGCCUGCCUUUGUUUAAAACUAUUAAGUUGCUGAUUACUUUUUUUUUUUUUUUUUUUUUUUAAGGCCGAGCUUAAUAUUUGCAUAAAGUAGUAUUGGUUUUCUGAAGUCCAUCUGAGUUGUUGUUUGUCUUCUGUGGCCUUUGCCUUGCUCAUUACCCAGCAGUGAAGCAGUUCUUGCUGCUGUGCUGAGUGGAAAGCAGCUUAUCAGUUACUCCCAAUUUGAUGGGGAAUCUUACACCAUGCAAAUCAGUAUCCCUAAAACAAUACCUAGUUCCAGGUUCCACAGAGAUCAGCUACGAGGGGAUAACUAUGUACAGGCAAUUCAAAGCAUCUUAUGUAGUUUCUGCAAUUUUGUACUUAUUUUUAGAUGCUGGAUGACUAAAUCUGUGGGAUGUGGCACAUAAGGAGCCAUAACGUAACUGCACUAGAAGGCAGAUUUUUAAAUUUCACUUUCAGAAUCAGCUAAGUGAGAUUUGUACAGGUAAUUCAAAUGUCUAAAAGAUUCAGGUAGGCACUGUGUAGGUUUUCUAAAAAUACGUGUGUUUAAAAUGUGUGUUACGAAUAUGGAGACAGCAUGCGUGUAAAAGCUAUGCUCUUUUAGGCCUUUAAAAGAAACUUGCCUCAUCAUCCUCAUGUAGAUGUUAUUUAAGCUGCUGCCAUUUGUUCUGUUCAGGGACAAGCACGAACCCAUGCACCUAGAGUUUCGCUUUAUGCUUAAGGGCAAGGAAUCACUUACUGCGGAGCAAGCUGAAGUCUAACCAUGUUUGGACACUCGUCCUGCCCUUGUGGGACCCUGCAGCAGCAGGAUGCAUCCACCAUGCUGUGAGAGCCUUCUGGCUGUCUUGGUUUGGUAACCUGUCUGCCACAGGAGCUCUAUGAGGACUUCAAAUGCUGAGACAUAGAUCAUCAGUUCAGCUGUUUCAGUCCUGUUACCCUCUCGUCUUUCUUGUCCCGUGGUAUUUCAUGGUUGGAAAAGUGGCUUUCCAAGUCAUGUACGUGCCUAACUUACAGAUAAAGUUUCCCAUAGGCAGUAGACAACUUCAGCACUACAAUGGUUUCAGGAAAGGUGCCAAGAGAAACCUUAAAUGCCUGAAAAAAAUCUAAGUUGUUCACAUUUGAAAAUGGAGCUUUGGUCCCCAAAUCAUUUAUGUGUUUCCAUGAAAUUUUACUAAAGAUUUGUUGUUGCUGUUGUUCUGUUGGCUGGCUUACAUCUCUUUUUGGGAAGAAAAAAAAAAAGAGGUAAGGUAUUAUCAAUGCCCAUAGAUCAGACCAUGUAUUUAUUAUACAGUAAUGAGAUAAAUGAUUGCCUGUCUGUACUUUUCCACAAAUGAACAUUCUAUAUGCUGAGUCCUUAUAUAGUUGUUCUUAAAAUAGUUAUUGUUGACUUUUUUUUUGGUAGAUAUUUCACUCCAAGAGUGACAGAAUUUCCUUUUGCUUUGCAGUCUUUUUGUAUGUGUGUGUUAGGCAGUCCUAUAUGAAACUGUUGCAAAAUGAGAUAGAGACUUCAGGAUAGUAUCAAAUGUUAGAAUGGAAGACUGAAAUGACUGCUCCUCUCAUUAAUAACUUUCAUUACAGUGGAAGCAAGAUGAAACUUAUCAAGAAGCUAAAAAUUACAUUCCUUACUUAGAGCAGGAAUUUUCUUCUCUCAUUAAAAUAAAAAUCAAAUUCCUUUUCUAACAGGCUUCUGAUAGGAUCUGUUUAAAUGCUAAAUCAAGUCUUCAAAACAGCCAAGAAAAAUGGAUCUCCAAAUCCUGAUUUCAAACAUGGAACUUGGAGAUAGUCUCAUGUUUUUAAAGGUACAGCUGGGGAGUCUGUAUACAGAAAUACACUGCAGUGACAAGAAGCUGUUCCAACCUAGUCCUCCUACAGAUUAUGAUGCAGGUGCACAACUGAAGGGAAACGUCAUGGAGAGGUGCAUUAUCAGAUGCACAGCUCGGGCCAGGGAGGCGUAGCACCAUGCAUACCUCCAGGACAUUGAUGCGAAAUGGCUGCAACAGCACACACCUCUGUAUGAGGAUGUUGCAAAGGUAACAUAAAGCACUUGUUUCAAACUGCACAGAGAGCACAGCCAGGCUGCGAGUUUAAACCACAGUUAUUAAUUGGGUCAGUUUUUCUGCUGCGUUAUGCACUGAUAUCUUUAAGUGAAGAAGGACCAGGCAAAGAAAAAUACAUUAAGGAAAUUAAAAAAAACAGCUACUGUGACUUCUACUUCCUCCUUUUGAUCACAUACCAUACUUAGACAAAUUAGGUAUGAGUCUAUUUUUUCUCCAUCUGUUUCUAUAUGACAGAAUGAUAACCCCAAUGAUCUGCAUCUGAUAUGGUAAUUUGGAGAUCAGACCAGUUUAAGUAAAAUGCAUCUUUCUUACCAGCAAAAUGAUGGGAGUUGCUGGGGGGCUCCUCAGACCCAUAAAUUUUAUUCUGUUGUAUGUACAUAUAUAUAAUUUUAGCUGAGGUAUGCUACCUAUACUCCGAUACUAAAAACUAUAGAAAUGCAGUAAGACCUAGAAGGUCCUCCACUCUUUUCCUCAGUGGCUUGGUGUGCAUGGUAAGUGAUGUCGAUAGCAUGGGAAACUCCAGUUCCCUUUUUGCAGGACUUUACAGGCGAUUGCAUGAUGCUCUUCAUGCUUUAAUCCUCGUCAGCUACUUGUUAGAAGAAGAGGUAAGAAAAAUAUUCACUCAGUGUUCAUUCAUUUUGUCUGUAACAUUGUUAGUUAUUUUAGGGAACCAUUAAAGGAAUUUGGUAGCAACGUUUUGAUGUGCAACAACUAAAUAACAACCAGGCUGCCACCAGUAAUUCAUUCUACAUAGAUCUUGGGGCACCCAGGAGAGAACUUGUGCUCCACUCACUGCUGCCUUUCCAUAGCUCGAAUUAAGUGAGCGCAGCUGAGCCCUCCAGUCCUUCCUUUUCUUGCUUUUAAUCACAAUGGAGAAAGCAAACAGAAUGGCAUAAAGUAACUCUAGCUGUACAAAUCUUUCCCAGAAGACUGUAACUUUUAUUUUUCUUUAUUUAAUCUAAUCUCUUCAUGCUGCAGUAGCAUUAAGGAUAUAAAUCACGUGCAGGAAAAUAGAUGCUACAUUAGUCAAAAUCAAGUCACAGCAAUUCUCUACUAGUUCUACAGAAAAACGUCAAGGUAGUUAAAGAGCUAAAUUCAAUUCAGUACCGUGCUUCCGGACAUUGCAGUACAUCUUGUUGUAGUCACUGGGCAUCUGAGUGGCCUUCUGCUGAAACACUACGAAGUUAAGAACACAAGGAAGUUAACCAAAACUGUUAAAGAAGACAUCACACAUUCUGAAAGAAGGAUGGAGGCUCAUGAAAGCAGGCUGGAAUAAAUUUCUUAUUCUAGCCUUGGAGUACUUCUCAACCCACUCGUCAGUCUAAUGUUAAUUACUUGAAAAAUUGUUCUGUUGCACAGAAUGGCAGGAUUAUUGAUAUUACAAGAUAUCAUGACAAGAAGCUUUGAAGAAAAUAAAAUAAUUGCAAUAACAUUACUUGUUUAGAAAAAACAAAACAAAACAACACAUAAUUUUAGAGUUCUUCACAUGGUAUGGACACCUACUAUAGUCUAUAUCUUAUUUAGGGAAAAAGCUAAGGCAGGAAAAACAAUAGUACCAGGCAAGAAUAACGACAAUGCAUAAGUAAGAAUACACGCGUGUGUUUCUCUUGCUCAUACAGGCAACAAGAACAGCAAGGCCUGCUUACCUGCUCCCUUACCCUCGCCCACCACUCCACUGCUGUCAGGUGCCUCGAGUACAGACAGCUUGGAUUUGCCCUGAAAUCUGCUGCUGUCAAACUUUUGCUGGCAACGAAAGUAAAACCCAGAUGGCUGGAACUGCUUCAUUACUGACUUAACUAUUGUCAUAUAUGCCUUGCCCUCUUAAGUCUCAGUUUUGAUUUUAGCUAAAAAACAAAACAAAACAACAAACUGAUAAUGAGAGUAACCCCUUGCAGUGAAGUCAUCUUACUGACAAACGUGCCAGUUCAGUGCAGCAAGUAUUUGUUCUGGGACCAAGGCAUGGUCCAACAGAGCCGUGUGCACGGCACGCUCUGCACGCACCCUGCUGUCCCGGCUGCUUGCUCAUGCAGAGCAAGGAAACCCAGCGGAGCUCAGUUUGCUCCUUGCCUGCCUGCUCAGGCUGCCAUGUACAAUUCUUUAGUUUCUCUCACGAAACUUGUGAAAUGGAGGAUCGAGGCCAUUCAAACUCUGUGCUUGCUACACAGAGAGGUGGGAAGGAACAAUUCCUGAAAGCGUUUUCUAAAUGGCAGAAUGAAGUCUUCAGGCCAACCCCGAGUAGGCAGUAGGAGGUGAUGAUGAAUGACAACAGCUGGGGACUUCACGUUCCUGAAAAUGUUAUCAGAUGGGUUAAAUGGAUAGCGUAAAAGAACGAGACAGGCAGCACAAUCUGUCGAUGUUAUGGUCCUAGUUUCAGCCUAACACUGAUAGAUGUUAACAUUUAUAAUGUUAGCUCUCUCUAUAAUUCCCAAAGAAUCCUGCUAAAUGUGGCCACAGUGUUUUCUUCUACACUUGAAAUAGUAUCCUCUUGUAAGAGAGGAAAUCAAAGUACACUGAGGUGAUGCCAGCAGCCUCAAUUUGUCUGCAUAAGGAAGAGGAGGGAAACACUCAACAAUGUCCCUGAUUGGGAAGUACUUUAAUUGAUAGUCUUUGAAAUUUCUGCUGAGUUUUGCAGUGUCAGAGUAAUCAGAAAUGGAAUUACUCUUCCAGUUGUUCAAAGUAAAAUUGUUAAAGCCACUUUACGUGCUGCAUCUUGCUGAAAUGCUUUUAGUUGGCAGCAAGUACUCAGUGUGGGUGAAGUAAAUGAAAACAAAUUAUUCCUGUUUCUGGAAUGCCUGGCGUAUGCACACGCUGCUGUACCACCGCCACGGGUUUAGGGAAGACUCCAGCAAUUUACUCCUUCAUUCCCACAUUCUCUUCUGUCAGUUGUAAGCUGCUGGAAUACAGUAAGUGGAACGAAAUAAAUUGAUAAGUUUUGUACAGAGACACAUUCUGUUCUUCUGGAAGGUAAGAGUGACUAUUCCUUCAGUAAAGCAUAUUAAUAUAGCAGGUUUUUUAGGUGGCAGAAUGCCAUAAUCCUUCAAACGAACAAACAUAUAUAUAUAUUUAUAUUUUAGAGCCUCUGCUAUAGAAAAUCUGAUUAAAGAAUCACAGUACUGCUAUUAUGCCUUUUUUAUUUAAAAAAACAAACCAAACCAAAAACAAAAACCCAAGCAAGCACCUUCGAUAAUAUUUGUAAGACCCCUUUUAAAUUUUUAAUCAGGUUGUGACUGGACAAAAUACCUGUAUAUGUUUAUACAUCAAAACCUACAAGUUCGAUAUCUCCCCCUUUAGUUGCUACAGGACACAGAUGAAGUCCUCUGCAUGCCCUAAAUACAUUUUGAUGUCUUAGGUAGUAAGAACACUUUUUAGGAAUGUAAUGCAACCUCAAUUUCUCCAGGAAAGCAAAAUGAGUAAGGAACUACUGCACUAUUUUCCAGUAGGAUAUGAAACCAGAAAACAGUGUUCAUUUUUUUUUUUAAAUCCCAGUGAGACUGGUUACUGAUGCUGAUUCAGGCUGUCCGCACAUGCAGGUAAAUAACACUGUGAGGCUCGAAAUGUGAUGUAUAUUUUUAUGGUUAUCCCCACAAAUAGAAGGACUAGAAAUAUUUGAAAUCCAAGCCUCUGGUGCAUAACUCUGUAUCAAGAAGAACAUUUUAUAAUGACACAACUGUACAAGAAACAGUGAUGAGUAUAAAGCACCUAGAAAGAGAGAAGGCAAAUUUUUACAAUAGCCGCUGGUAG